ACUCCUACGGGAGGCAGCAGUGAGGAAUUUUGCGCAAUGGGGGAAACCCUGACGCAGCAACGCCGCGUGAGUGAUGAAGGCUUUCGGGUCGUAAAGCUCUGUCAAGUGGGAAGAACCCUUGUAUCCGGAUAAUGGAUGCAAGCUGACGGUACCACUGAAGGAAGCACCGGCUAACUCCGUGCCAGCAGCCGCGGUAAUACGGAGGGUGCAAGCGUUAUUCGGAAUUACUGGGCGUAAAGGGCGCGCAGGCGGCCAUGUAAGUCAGUUGUGAAAGCCCGGGGCUCAACCCCGGAAGUGCGACUGAAACUGUGUGGCUUGAGUAUGGUAGAGGGAAGUGGAAUUCCUGGUGUAGCGGUGAAAUGCGUAGAUAUCAGGAGGAACACCGGUGGCGAAGGCGACUUCCUGGACCAUAACUGACGCUGAGGCGCGAAGGCGUGGGUAGCAAACAGGAUUAGAAACCCCUGUAGUCC
rnacentral:rRNA from 1 species